GACCCAGUGGCGGAUGGUCCGCACCCGCUGCCGUUCCGCAGUUCUCGAGUAUGUGAUGCGGGGGUUGACGUUGCUCGUUCGAACCGAGCCUGGGUCG